rnacentral:rRNA from 1 species
UACAGAGGGUGCGAGCGUUAAUCGGAAUUACUGGGCGUAAAGCGUGCGUAGACGGUCAUGUAAGUCGGAUGUGAAAGCCCCGGGCUCAACCUGGGAAUUGCAUUCGAGACUGCAUGGCUUGGGUGCGGAAGAGGGAAGCGGAAUUUCCGGUGUAGCGGUGAAAUGCGUAGAUAUCGGAAGGAACACCAGUGGCGAGAGCGGCUUCCUGGUCCAGCACCGACGUUCAGGCACGAAAGCGUGGGGAGCAAACAGG